GGUUGUGGCUCAGUGGUAGAGCACCUGCCUAGUAUGCAUGAGGCACUGGGUUCAUUUCCUGGCACCA
rnacentral:tRNA from 1 species